GCGGAUCCGAGCCCGGAGCCCCCCGGAGCCUGCGGCUGCGGGAGGGUCCUGGGGGGCUCCAGAGGGCUUCGGGUGUUUUGCCUUUUUACUGUUUAUCUCUCCUCUGAGAUUCCCCCCUCUCGCGGUGUGCCGGCUGGCGUCCCCGGGUGGAUCCAGCCGGGCAGGCAGCACCCGCUGCAGACACGGCCCCUUCCCUGCAGAUGGAAGCAUUAAUUACAAGAUGCUGUGACCUGUGUGGACCCUGAGGAGUGCACCCGUGUGUGUGGGGCUGCCGUGGGCUGCUCCAGCAUCGCCCACCCCGAGCUGGUGGCAGUAGGGCUGCGGGGUCUGAUGAUCGCAGUGAUGAUGGCAGUGCUCCUGUCAUCCCUACCUCCAUCUUCAUCAGCAGCAUCCUCCUCACCAUGGACGUCUGGAGGAUGUCCCCAUCUCCGCGGGCUGGUGACCAGGAGCUGCUCCUCGUGGACAGGAACUGGCCGUGGUUUUGGGGGACACCGGAGGUUUCGGGGAGUCUGGUGGGGCCAGUCAAGCCUGCAAAGCGCCUCCACUCAGCCUGGCUUAUGUACGGAAAACAAGCCCUUGGAUUAUUUUAUGGAUGAAAGCGCUGGAAAUGCAGAAGGGCCGCUCGGUGCAGCCUCUCCCCAUCGCCUCCAGCCCAGUCCCACCGGGAAACCGCGGUCACACCCGGGGGGCUCGGGCAGAGGGCAGAGGACAGCGCUGCCCGCUCAUCCCCGGGCACACA